rnacentral:misc_RNA from 1 species
CCAGCUUCCUCUGAACAUUUCAAAGAUGUUCAUUGAAAGCUUCAAGGUCGAGAGCCCCAACGUCAAGUACGGGGAUGGCGAGAUCCAGUCGGUCUACAACUAUGAGACCACUGAGCUCGUCCACGAGAGCCGGGAUGGGGCGUACCAGUGGGUUGUUAAGCCGAAGACCGUCAAAUAUGAGUUCAAGACGGCAACGAAUGUGCCGAAGCUCGGAGUGAUGCUUGUGGGAUGGGGCGGAAACAAUGGGUCUACUCUCACUGCUGGAGUGAUUGCUAACAGGGAGGGGAUCUCAUGGGCCACCAAGGACAAGGUGCAGCAGGCAAACUAUUUUGGCUCCUUGACCCAGGCCUCAACUAUCAGAGUUGGAUCCUUCAACGGAGAGGAGAUCUAUGCCCCUUUCAAGAGUUUGCUCCCCAUGGUUAACCCAGAUGAUAUUGUCUUUGGGGGAUGGGACAUCAGCAACAUGAACCUCGCAGAUUCCAUGGCCAGGGCUAAGGUCUUAGCUGCUUCUGUAGAUCAAUAUCUAGAACCUUAGCCCUGGCC